ACGGAAGGCAGCAGUGGGGAAUAUUGCACAAUGGGGGAAACCCUGAUGCAGCGACGCCGCGUGAAGGAUGACGUAUUUCGGUAUGUAAACUUCUAUCAGCAAGGAAGAUGAUGACGGUACUUGACUAAGAAGCCCCGGCUAACUACGUGCCAGCAGCCGCGGUAAUACGUAGGGGGCAAGCGUUAUCCGGAUUUACUGGGUGUAAAGGGAGCGUAGACGGCAUGGCAAGUCUGAUGUGAAAGCUAUGGGCUCAACCCAUAAACUGCAUUGGAAACUGUCGCGCUAGAGUGUCGGAGAGGUAAGCGGAAUUCCUAGUGUAGCGGUGAAAUGCGUAGAUAUUAGGAGGAACACCAGUGGCGAAGGCGGCUUACUGGACGAUAACUGACGUUGAGGCUCGAAAGCGUGGGGAGCAAACAGGAUUAGAUACCCUGGUA
rnacentral:rRNA from 1 species